AUCAGUUUCCUAGUAGAUCGCAAGGAGUAUGUCGUUCAGGCAAUUAUUAGACCAUUUCAUUAUUUAAAAUUAACUAUUGUGCUGUAUAGUGUCUACAGUUUAAUCUAAACAACUAAAAUUAGAUGCUGUGAGCGGUGCGUGAUUAGGUUUUCUUGCAAUUUUAUUAUUCGAUGGAUUCGGUUAACCUGCUGGAGUCGUCGUGUGGGACACCUACCCUGAGAGAAAAGCUUGGACUGCACAAUUCUUACAUCUUCAUCAGUACAAAGGGGGUAAUAUUGGACAUCUUUACAGUAGCUAGGUCAUGGAUCAAAACUUUGCUUUCCCAUUAAUUUCAUAUGGCAUCCAGGUAUUCAAAUGCAUGCCUCGAAUUUAAUAGACGUUCUACAUUAGGAGCCAUCAGAAUGAAGAUUGGAUGAUGGUCAUGCUGCGAUGGAUAUCGGAUAAGUUCAUUGGAACCUGAGUUUGACUGUCUUUCAUUUAAGGGAAGAAAAUGGGUCAUUUAUGAGUCUGUGCCGAGCCAUUUCAUUUCUACUGGGAAUUUCAAUUUUUAUAACAAUCUGUAAAGAAAGUGGGUUUAUUGAGCUGAAUUUUUGAUUUCCAAUAUAUCAAUUUUUUAUUA